GGAAGGGUGCCAGAGUGGUCGAAUGGGCCGCACUCGAAAUGCGGUGUACCCGCAAGGGUACCGUGGGUUCAAAUCCCACCCCUUCCGCCA
rnacentral:tRNA from 1 species